AGUUGAAGGUAGCAAGCUGAAAAAUCUGUGUUGCGGACCGAAAAUUUGGGGCGAUUUCAUUUCGGUCGUAAUUGGGAUUUUCAUUCCAAUUGAGGUACAGGACUCAGGAUUUGAAGAUUCCAUUGCUCCUUGGAUGGCUUACAGUUUCUAAGUUUCUAUUUUAUGCAAGUGUUAGCAUAAGAUGCCUCUUUGUAGCCCUAUUUGUUUAAAUUUGUAUUCGUUGAUUCGUAUAUGUAAAGUGUACGUAAGUGCACUCUUUUCAAUGUAUUUAACAUGUAUGAGAUGAGGCCGGAGGCCAAUGACAUGUAUCUCAUUUUCUA